CCUACGGGAGGCAGCAGUGAGGAAUAUUGGUCAAUGGACGAGAGUCUGAACCAGCCAAGUAGCGUGAAUGAUGACUGCCCUAUGGGUUGUAAACUUCUUUUAUAAAGGAAUAAAACGAGGCACGUGUGCCUAUUUGUAUGUACUUUAUGAAUAAGGAUCGGCUAACUCCGUGCCAGCAGCCGCGGUAAUACGGAGGUUACGAGCGUUAUCCGGAUUUAUUGGGUUUAAAGGGUGCGUAGGCGGCCUCUUAAGUUAGCGGUGAAAGUCUGUGGCUCAACCAUAGAAUUGCCGGUGAAACUGGGGGGCUUGAGUACAUUUGAGGCAGGCGGAAUGCGUGGUGUAGCGGUGAAAUGCUUAGAUAUCACGAGGAACCCCGAUUGCGAAGGCAGCCUGCCAGGCCAUGACUGACGCUGAUGCACGAAAGCGUGGGGAUCAAACAGGAUUAGAUACCCUUGUAGUC
rnacentral:rRNA from 1 species